ACAAGCGGUGGAGUAUGUGGUUUAAUUCGAUGCAACGCGAAGAACUUACCCGGUCUUGACAUCCCGGAGACCCUUAGGAAACUAGGGGUGCUUCCAUCUGGAAGAAUCUGGAGACAGGUGCUGCAUGGCUGUCGUCAGCUCGUGUCGUGAGAUGUUGGGUUAAGUCCCGCAACGAGCGCAACCCUUGCCUUUAGUUGCCAGCAGUUCGGCUGGGCACUCUAAAGGGACUGCCGGUGUUAAACCGGAGGAAGGUGGGGAUGACGUCAAGUCCUCAUGGCCUUUAUGACCAGGGCUACACACGUACUACAAUGGCCGAUACAAAGGGCAGCGACACUGCGAGGUGAAGCCAAUCCCGUAAAAUCGGUCUCAGUCCGGAUUGGAGUCUGCAACUCGACUCCAUGAAGUUGGAAUCGCUAGUAAUCGUGGAUCAGCAUGCCACGGUGAAUACGUUCCCGGGCCUU
rnacentral:rRNA from 1 species